AACGAACGCUGGCGGCAUGCCUAACACAUGCAAGUCGAACGAACCCUUCGGGGUUAGUGGCGCACGGGUGCGUAACGCGUGGGAAUCUGCCCUUGGCUUCGGAAUAACAGUUAGAAAUGACUGCUAAUACCGGAUGAUGACGAAAGUCCAAAGAUUUAUCGGCCAGGGAUGAGCCCGCGUAGGAUUAGGUAGUUGGUGGGGUAAAGGCCUACCAAGCCGACGAUCCUUAGCUGGUCUGAGAGGAUGAUCAGCCACACUGGGACUGAGACACGGCCCAGACUCCUACGGGAGGCAGCAGUGGGGAAUAUUGGACAAUGGGGGAAACCCUGAUCCAGCAAUGCCGCGUGAGUGAUGAAGGCCUUAGGGUUGUAAAGCUCUUUUACCCGGGAUGAUAAUGACAGUACCGGGAGAAUAAGCUCCGGCUAACUCCGUGCCAGCAGCCGCCGUAA
rnacentral:rRNA from 1 species